UGGAUCCCCUAAAAAAAAAACUCUCGCUGGAGAGAGAACCAGUUCCCAAAUCCCAAUUCCAUUCCAACACACACACAGGACACAACCGGCGGCGGCUCGACUCGAUCGUUCCCUUCCCCGGCGGCGGCGGCGAGAUCUCUCCCGUACGCAGCGUUUCCCCCCAAACCCUAACCCUAGCCAGCACCCUCGCAUCGCACCAACUCCGCCGGCCGGCCUCGACCCCCCAUGGCGCCGCCGUCGCAGCCGCGGCUGACGGAGAUCCCGGAGCAGCUGCUGGAGGAGAUCUUCCUGCGCCUCGCGACCCCAGCGGACCUCGCCCGCGCCAAGGCCGCCUGCGUCGCCUUCCGCCGCUUCAUCGCCGACCGCGCCUUCCUCGCCCUCUUCCGCCGCCGCCACUCCCCGCCGCUCCUCGGCUUCCUCGACCGCGCCGGGUUCCACCCUUCCUCCCCCGGCUUCUUCGUCGGCGGCGACGCCGACUUCACCUUCUCCUUCCUCCCCACCCACUGCCGCUGGACCGCCGUGGACUCCCGCGACGGCCGCGUGCUCCUCGCCCCCACCCCCGAUCUCGUUCAUCAGAGGUUUCCCCCAAUUUUCACGGAGCUCGUGGUCUCCGAUCCCCUUCACCGGCGCUACGUCCUGAUUCCCCGGGUGCCUCUCUGCAUUUCCCAUGGGGUGUUCUCGGAAUGGAGCGCCCCCUUCCUCCUGCCCCCCACCCAGGAGGAGGAGGAGGACUCGACGGCGUUCAGAGUGAUCUGGUUGGCACACAACAACGGAGCGCUCUCUGGUUUCGUCUUCUCCUCGAGGACCGGGCAAUGGGUUGAAGCCGUCGCCCGGAGAUGGGAGGAUUUCGGGAUUACGCUCUACAUGGCCACCACGGAGUUGAUCCAAGAGGGCCCCCUUCUCAGGCGCCAUUACGCGUAUGGCUGUUUCUACUGGAACUUCUUCACAGCUGGGAGGAUCGUGUUAAUCGUGCUCGACAUGCGCAUAAUGGAUUUCUCGGAUCAUGACUUCAUGCCGGCGGGAUUGACUAUGGAAGAGAUGCAGGAUGCCGCCAUUGUGGAGGCCGGGGAUGGUAGGCUUGGGUUGUUUGCUAUGCGCCAUGACGGUGGCAUGUCGGAACUCCGUUAUUUCAUCAGGCGAGACAUGGAUGAGAGGUUUGCCUCGUGGAAUCUGGUGAAGACUAUCCCGCUAGGUUCUGGACACCGCCAAUCUAUCAAAGCUACAACGGAGAGGUUCUUGCUCCUUGAAAGGGGCAUAAACUUAAUGCAGGAGCCGCCAACUGAUACGGGAAUUUUUUCACUCAACGUCAAGACUUUGAAGCUUGACAAGGUUUCUGGCCUAAGAUUCAACUCCGGAGGCGGCGGCAGAGCGCUCAUCUAUACAAACUUCCCACCGACAUUGUUGUCUUCGCCAACAUUAUGAAGUGAGACAUGACGAACAGCAGGCUGAGUUGGCCGCCGCGCCGCCGGAUGGCUGAGUCGCUUGGAUGGAGGGAGCCGACUGCCAUAUAUGGCCGGCCGCUCGGUGGACAGAGAGGGUGGGGCGACCUGACUGCCAUAUAUGGCCGGCCGUGUGGUGGAAAGGGGGGGGGGGGACCCUGCUGCCAUAUGGCCGCCCACGCCGUGAAGAGAGAGAGGGUGUGCGACCCCCUCUGCCAUAUGGCCAGACCAUCGCGGUGGAGAGAGAGACAGGCUGCACAUGUAUAGAGAGAGAGAGAGGUGGGCAGCGACGGCCGAUGGGCUGCCCGCCAGGGGUGGGCUCACCUUUGCACAAAGACGAAACUGGGGGGAAAACUGGCGCUGAGCUGAAGCUGGGGUAAAGCGAUUCGAAGAGCUUAGCUAGCAAGUGAUAUUCGUUUUGAGAGCUUGGGAGUUGCUGGAACAAAGGAGUACAACCACUCCUGAUAUAUUCAUUGUAAUGAAAGCCGAAGACUCCUUUGUUCAUUACAUAUACUGAACGAUGGUAAUGACAAGGCUGAAAAUGAAGGUCCAUUUUUCUACUCGAAGAAGACAUGCAUGUACACCCUGCAGCUAGCUAGGGAAUUGUUAAUUAGAUAUACUGUUUUCCAAUCUUAUGUUAGAUAUACUGUUUUCCUAUCUUAUGUUAGAUAUACUGUUUUCCUAUUCGUUGGCGUUUAUGUUACUUGGAUCGAAGAAACAGGUUUGAAUGUUUGAUUUUAUGACACCUGUUUGUGGUUAUUGGAUGUUUUGGUAUACUGUUCACUCCUGAUA